CAGAUUGUCCUACCAAGGCUUACUGCGCAUGCGCACAUUAAUAUUGCGUCAUUUUUGUCACGCUGAAGAACACGCCCAUAAUAUUUUACUACUUGCGUGAGAACUUCUUCAUCUGAGCUAUGGAAGAUAAGUGGGAAGCAUUGUAUAAUCUUCUGUCAGUGGGAUCAUACCCAUCAGGGUAUGAUAAGUCCAAAAGGCAGAACAUUAGAAGAUAUCCACUUAAAUUCAACCUAAAGGAUGGAGAGCUUUUUUAUGGAAGUAAAAGAGUGAUCAAAACCAAAG